rnacentral:rRNA from 1 species
UUGAACGCUGGCGGCAGGCCUAACACAUGCAAGUCGAACGGUAACAGGAAGAAGCUUGCUUCUUUGCUGACGAGUGGCGGCCGGGUGAGUAAUGUCUGGGAAACUGCCUGAUGGAGGGGGAUAACUACUGGAAACGGUAGCUAAUCCCGCAUAACGUCGCAAGACCAAAGAGGGGGACCUUCGGGCCUCUUGCCAUCGGAUGUGCCCAGAUGGGAUUAGCUAGUAGGUGGGGUAACGGCUCACCUAGGCGACGAUCCCUAGCUGGUCUGAGAGGAUGACCAGCCACACUGGAACUGAGACACGGUCCAGACGCCUACGGGAGGCAGCAGUGGGGAAUAGUGCACAAUGGGCGCAAGCCUGAUGCAGCCAUGCCGCGUGUAUGAAGAAGGCCUUCGGGUUGUAAAGUACUUUCAGCGGGGAGGAAGGGAGUAAAGUUAAUACCUUUGCUCAUUGACGUUACCCGCAGAAGAAGCACCGGCUAACUCCGUG